CGAACAGACGUGUGCCUGUAUGGCGAGACGCUCGUGUCACCGUUAUAAAACGCGUUACACACGGUCAAGGAUUGCUGGAUACGGUCAGAACGACACUUCCACACAUUGCUCUCGACGACGAGCGAUCGAAAGAACACAUGAAUGAAUAGCUGAGGUUUCCCGGGCCUCGAACGGGCAAAUUGUGCGCAACUCUGCCUACCUGUGGGUCGUUGAGAAGAAAUCCGAGGAGGAAGCCCGUGCUCGUCCUCUCCUGUCGCACCCUACGGCUCUUUUUCCCGACUCUUCGUCUUACGGAGGCCAAUGUCCAACUGAAGAUGCCGCCCAACUCCCCCCAAGGUUUCUUUAAAAGUAAAUCAGAGGAGGACUCGGUGCUGCCGGCACCAAUCGUCGCACACUAUCACCGAUCAUCCGUGUCCUUCGUGCGACGACGAUGACGACGACAACGACGACGGGCGCUACGACGACGACGACGACGACGUCGUCGUUCCGACGACGAAAGCGGUCAACACCUUUCCAUCUCUCCGCAAACCGGUAACACAGAGGUUAAUGCGGUGCGCGCGGAUGAAUGAAGAGGGUUCCGGGCUGAUUCAGCUCGCACGAAAAUAUCGGGAGAGAUGAAACGUCAUGUCGCGGUAACUUCCGUCGAUCGUUAAAUGCGUCCGGAUUCCGGCAGAAAAAGCGACAGGCCACUUUAGCGACGCGAUGGUCUUCGCGGCGCGCUUAUCGGAACUCGUUUUGACUUUGGUCGCUUUGAAAUAAUCUCUAACAUACAGGAUAUUCUCCCAGAUUUUUCGGGAAAUAUAGAGGUGAAUGUUUGAGAAAACAAUGUGAGAGUACUUCAAAAUUUUCCGGGGUAUUUUCUCCCGAUAUCCUCUUUUCUUGCCGAGAGGAGGGAGCUAUCUAAUUAGUAUAAUUUGCGCUUGCUCUUCUAUAACAAUGUGUGUGCGUGUGAGACCUGAUUUUCUAUCGAUGAAACCAUAUCGCGCAGGUGACUCGCGAUGCAUCGACAAUCAACGCAAGUGACAUCCGUUCCUCAUUCGCGUCGAACGUGCCGAUUGCUUCGACACCCACAUUACCACACAAGCAAAUUUCAUAGCGUUCUUGCUAAUCAUUUGAAUCUCUUUGUGAUAUGUUCAGAACACUUGAACAGGUUCUGUAACUCUAUGCAAAUCAAUAAAAAGGCUGUAACUCGGUGAUGUCACUUGGUA